UGGGGAAUUUUGGACAAUGGGCGAAAGCCUGAUCCAGCCAUGCCGCGUGAGUGAAGAAGGCCUUCGGGUUGUAAAGCUCUUUUAGUCGGAAAGAAAGAGUUGCAAUGAAUAAUUAUGAUUCAUGACGGUACCGACAGAAAAAGCACCGGCUAACUACGUGCCUGCAGCCGCGGUAAUACGUAGGGUGCGAGCGUUAAUCGGAAUUACUGGGCGUAAAGGGUGCGCAGGCGGUUUUGUAAGUCAGAUGUGAAAUCCCCGGGCUUAACCUGGGAAUUGCGUUUGAAACUGCAAGACUAGAGUGCAGCAGAGGGGAGUGGAAUUCCAUGUGUAGCAGUGAAAUGCGUAGAGAUGUGGAAGAACACCGAUGGCGAAGGCAGCUCCCUGGGUUGACACUGACGCUCAUGCACGAAAGCGUGGGGAGCAAACA
rnacentral:rRNA from 1 species